rnacentral:rRNA from 1 species
CCCCCUAACCCACNUCGGGGGGUACUGCCUGCCCAGUGAAUAAAUUUAAACGGCCGCGGUACCCUAACCGUGCAAAGGUAGCACAAUCACUAGCCCUCUAAAUAAGGUCCGGUAUGAAUGGCAACACGAAGGCCUGACUGUCUCCUCUUUAACAAAUGAAACUUCUCUAGCCGUGCAAAAGCGGCCAUAAAAGCGCCAGACGAGAAGACCCUAUCGAGCUUUAAGGGUAAGGGAACGACUAAAAACUAGGCUAGCUGAAUUUAUGGUUUACCAAUUACCCACACCCCUAGCUUUGCUCUUUGUCCCUUGGCCCUUUUGGUUGGGGCAACCACGGAGAACAACCACCCUCCGAGCCAAAUUUCUUUCAAAUGACAGCACGUCUUUAAUAAAACCCUUAUGGCACAUGAUCCGGUCUAUCCGAACAACAAACAAAGUUACCGUAGGGAUAACAGCGUAAUCCCUCCUAAGAGCCCGCAUUGCCGGAGGGGUUUGCGACCUCGAUGUUGGAUCGGGGAAUCCUGAUGGUGCAGCCGCUAUCAAGGGUUGGUCUGUUCGACCAUUAAAACCCCACGUGAUCUGAGUUCAGACCGG